GAGGUGACAGGGCCGUAUGGUGGAUCUCCUGCCAGUGACAGGCUGUCAUUUGGAGAUGUGUGCCAUGUGGCUGUCUCUCAGCCUGUCUUUGAGCUGAAGGAUGACCCCUGCUCAUUGGGGCUUCACUGGCCAUGCCAUUCCUGUCUCUCAGCUCAAACAUCUGACAGGAGACAUGACAUCAGAGACACAUCGACUCCAUCUUCAGCUCUCGAGAACUUCCUGAGAGCUUUCUGACCUGCUGCAUCACAGUCUGCUGACAGCUGCACAUCCUCAGACGAGAAAGCCCUUCAGCGGGUAGUCAAAACUGCCCAUCGCGUCACUAAACUCGGCUACUGGCCAUCGAAGAUCUGAACAACAGUCGCUGCCUGUAAAGGGCUCUCCAUAUCAUCAUUAUGGAUUCCAUCCACCACAGCUACAGUCUGUUUUCUUCCCUGCCAUCUGGAAGCCACAUAGACACAAACACAGACCACAACAUUUUCAUCCCUUGAGGUUGCUUUCCUGAGUCGCACUCCCCUGCGGAUGGUCUUCAACAUGUCUUCUCCUUCCUGCUCAUGCCCUUGAUCUUGCUGGUGGCCCUGGCUGGCCUGAGAAUCCGUGGGAAAUGGGAACUGGCCGUCACAGA